CCUACGGGAGGUAGCAGUGGGGAAUUUUCCGCAAUGGGCGAAAGCCUGACGGAGCAAUACCGCGUGAGGGAGGAAGGCUCUUGGGUUGUAAACCUCUUUUUUCAGGGAAGAUAAUGACGGUACCUGAGGAAUAAGCAUCGGCUAACUCCGUGCCAGCAGCCGCGGUAAUACGGAGGAUGCAAGCGUUAUCCGGAAUGAUUGGGCGUAAAGCGUCCGCAGGUGGUUUUAAAAGUCUGUUGUUAAAGCGUGAGGCUUAACCUCAUAAGGGCAAUGGAAACUGUAAGACUAGAGUACGUUCGGGGCAAGGGGAAUUCCCAGUGUAGCGGUGAAAUGCGUAGAGAUUGGGAAGAACACCGGUGGCGAAAGCGCCUUGCUAGGCCGUAACUGACACUGAGGGACGAAAGCUAGGGGAGCGAAUGGGAUUAGAUACCCCAGUAGUCCUAGCCGUAAACGAUGGAUACUAGGCGUUGUCUGUAUCGACCCGGACAGUGCCGUAGCUAACGCGUUAAGUAUCCCGCCUGGGGAGUACGCACGCAAGUGUGAAACUUAAAGGAAUUGACGGCUGAGCAGACACACAGGAGAG
rnacentral:rRNA from 1 species